UAUGACUUGAGCCGAAACCAAAAGUCAACGCUCGACCGACUGAGCCACCCAGGCACCCCGCCAGUUUGAGCUGGUGUCCAUCGCUAGACACCACACCAGUUCGACUAAAGAAAGGUCCAAGUCAAGGCAAGUGCAUGCUUCUGAUGGGUCAGAGAGCCGUUUCCACCCUGCGCAGUGCCGUUUUAGAGGCGACUCCCGUUUCCCACCCUGUACUCCAAAGGCCAGGACAUGGUGGCCAUGAAAACUGGUAGCCUCACUGCCGCUGGAGGGGCUGACCUGAUUUGGAGCUCUGCAACAAAACAAAACAAAACAAAAACUCAUGCAUUUAAAUCUUCCUAAAAUGACAACAGUCACAACAGCUUUACGGAUGACUUCUGCUAAACAUUCGAGGAAUUACACAAAAGUGUAAUACAUAUGUUUCCAGAAACUAGAAAGAGAAAAAGGAAAAGGAACAGUACGCAUGGAUUCCAUGAGAGAUAGAGACGGCCAGCGAGAGAGGGAACACAAGCAGGGGGAGUGGGAGAGGAAGAAGCAGGCUCAUAGCAGAGGAGCAUGAUGUGGGGCUUGAUCCCCUAACGCCGGGACCACGCCCUGAGCCGAAGGCAGACGCUUAACCGCUGUGCCACCCUGGCGCCCCGGGAAAUCCUUAUUUCUGAUUACCGAAGGCCACGUGCUAUCUGGAAAACAACACAGGUGAAUACCUGGGAGUGGAAUUGCAGCGUUGCAUGGGAAGUAUAUGGUAAGCGGAUGUUUAACUUUGUGGGAAUACAGAGUGACCACGUUAUUUGGCCUUCUUGCUACCAAUAUGCGAGAGUUCCAGUUGCUUCACAUAGUCACCGACACUUGGUUGUCAGUUCUAAAGAAGCUAGACAUUCUAAAGGCACCCUGUACACAUUUACUUCUUGUCCACUCACUUGUCUUCCUGCAAUGACCAGGACUCCAGAACAAUAGUGAAGAGGAGUGAUGAGGCUGGAUGGACCUCUCUGCCUUUUUCCUGAUUUCAGGAAGAAAGCCCGCAUUCUUUCACCAUUAAGUAUAAUGUUAACUGUGGGUUUUUCUGUAGCCUUUAAUCAAUUUAAGGAUGUUACCUUCUAUUUUUGAUUUGCUGAGAUUUUUUUUUUUUUAAACCAGGAAUGGGGGUGCCUGGGUGGCUUAGUCAGUUAAGCGUCUGCCUUCAGC